rnacentral:rRNA from 1 species
CUUCGGUGAGAUUUCCCAACUUCGGUUAUAAGAUCCCUCAAAGAUGAUGAGGUUAAUAGGUUCGAGGUGGAAGCGUGGUGACACGUGGAGCUGACGAAUACUAAUCGAUCGAAGACUUAAUCAA